CGGGAAUCUUCCACAAUGGACGAAAGUCUGAUGGAGCAACGCCGCGUGAGUGAAGAAGGAUUUCGGUUCGUAAAACUCUGUUGCAAGGGAAGAACAAGUAGCGUAGUAACUGGCGCUACCUUGACGGUACCUUGUUAGAAAGCCACGGCUAACUACGUGCCAGCAGCCGCGGUAAUACGUAGGUGGCAAGCGUUGUCCGGAAUUAUUGGGCGUAAAGCGCGCGCAGGUGGUUCCUUGAGUCUGAUGUGAAAGCCCCCGGCUCAACCGGGGAGGGUCAUUGGAAACUGGGGAACUUGAGUGCAGAAGAGGAUAGUGGAAUUCCAAGUGUAGCGGUGAAAUGCGUAGAGAUUUGGAGGAACACCAGUGGCGAAGGCGACUGUCUGGUCUGUAACUGACACUGAGGCGCGAAAGCGUGGGGAGCAAAC
rnacentral:rRNA from 1 species